rnacentral:rRNA from 1 species
AGAGUUUGAUCCUGGCUCAGGACGAACGCUGGCGGCGUGCUUAACACAUGCAAGUCGAGCGGUAAGGCUCCUUCGGGAGUACACGAGCGGCGAACGGGUGAGUAACACGUGAGCAAUCUGCCCUUCACUUCGGGAUAACUCCGGGAAACCGGUGCUAAUACCGAAUACGACCACCUCAGGCAUCUGAUGGUGGUGGAAAGUUCCGGCGGUGAAGGAUGAGCUCGCGGCCUAUCAGCUUGUUGGUGGGGUAAUGGCCCACCAAGGCAACGACGGGUAGCCGGCCUGAGAGGGUGACCGGCCACACUGGGACUGAGACACGGCCCAGACUCCUACGGGAGGCAGCAGUGGGGAAUAUUGGACAAUGGGCGAAAGCCUGAUCCAGCAACGCCGCGUGAGGGAUGACGGCCUUCGGGUUGUAAACCUCUUUCAGCAGGGACGAAGCGAAAGUGACGGUACCUGCAGAAGAAGCACCGGCCAACUACGUGCCAGCAGCCGCGGUAAUACGUAGGGUGCGAGCGUUGUCCGGAAUUAUUGGGCGUAAAGGGCUCGUAGGCGGUUUGUCGCGUCGGGAGUGAAAACUCAGGGCUUAACCCUGAGCCUGCUUCCGAUACGGGCAGACUAGAGGUAUGCAGGGGAGAACGGAAUUCCUGGUGUAGCGGUGAAAUGCGCAGAUAUCAGGAGGAACACCGGUGGCGAAGGCGGUUCUCUGGGCAUUACCUGACGCUGAGGAGCGAAAGUGUGGGGAGCGAACAGGAUUAGAUACCCUGGUAGUCCACACCGUAAACGUUGGGCGCUAGGUGUGGGACUCAUUCCACGAGUUCCGUGCGCAGCUAACGCAUUAAGCGCCCCGCUGGGGAGUACGCGCAGGCUAAAACUCAAAUGAAUUGACGG